GAGGCACUAACUAUCCUCGAGUGAGAGUGUUACGGAUUUUAUGUUGGCAUAUUUUGUGAUGUUAGUCGGAGUCUUGGAUGUUUGAAGAAGAAGAGAUGAAGAUCGAAGACUCGAAGACUCAAAACAUGAAUCCAUAAUGCUCGGUAAGUUUAAAUACCAUUGAUGAUGAUUUAUAAAUGUUUGAAAGUGUUUGGAAAAUUUAGGAUGAUUUUUAAAAUAUGAAACUGGACAAAUUGAGUUUUUCAAUGUGCUGGGACAGGUCCCCAAAG
rnacentral:lncRNA from 1 species